GACGAACGCUGGCGGCGUGCUUAACACAUGCAAGUCGAACGUGAUUUUUGUGGAAAUUCUUUCGGGAAUGGAAAUGAAAUGAAAGUGGCGAACGGGUGAGUAACACGUGAGCAACCUACCUUACACAGGGGGAUAGCCGUUGGAAACGACGAUUAAUACCGCAUGAGACCACAGAAUCGCAUGAUAUAGGGGUCAAAGAUUUAUCGGUGUAAGAAGGGCUCGCGUCUGAUUAGCUAGUUGGAAGGGUAAAGGCCUACCAAGGCGACGAUCAGUAGCCGGUCUGAGAGGAUGAACGGCCACAUUGGAACUGAGACACGGUCCAAACUCCUACGGGAGGCAGCAGUGGGGAAUAUUGCACAAUGGGGGGAACCCUGAUGCAGCGACGCCGCGUGAGCGAAGAAGGUUUUCGAAUCGUAAAGCUCUGUCCUAUGAGAAGAUAAUGACGGUAUCAUAGGAGGAAGCCCCGGCUAAAUACGUGCCAGCAGCCGCGGUAAUACGUAUGGGGCGAGCGUUGUCCGGAAUUAUUGGGCGUAAAGGGUACGUAGGCGGUUUUUUAAGUCAGGUGUGAAAGCGUGAGGCUUAACCUUAUUAAGCACUUGAAACUGGAAGACUUGAGUGAAGGAGAGGAAAGUGGAAUUCCUAGUGUAGCGGUGAAAUGCGUAGAUAUUAGGAGGAAUACCGGUGGCGAAGGCGACUUUCUGGACUUUUACUGACGCUCAGGUACGAAAGCGUGGGGAGCAAACAGG
rnacentral:rRNA from 1 species